UUCAUUCCAGGUAAAAUUACACAAUCUAUCCUCACUUGUGGCUGGUGUUUCCAGAGUCUGGAGAGGAGGUUUGAGUAUGCAGGUCCAGAGGUGUUCUCACCUCCCACAACCCAGAGUGUCAGAGAUGACAGACCUCUACUCUCUGGCCGCUGGACGACCUCCACGCCCGACGGACCCUCCCCGGAGCCUGUGACCUUUGACCCUGCUCGCAUCAGCGCUUGGCUGGGACAGACGCGUGUCCACACCGUCCCCUCUAGGGUCCUUUCGGUCCAACAGCACAGAGCCUACUCCAAGGCUGUCCAGACCAACAGUACUGGGAAGUGUGCUUGUUGCUCUGAGGGAAGCCACAGUCUUGGGGACAUAGCUGUUCAGACACACGCCCAGGAGCUGUGCUUGGCCACCUGCAACUCACAGUCAUGUGACCUCCAGCUCCAGUCUGAUACGAUGACUUGUAGACUUCAAUCAAACCCACAGUCUCCAGAGGAAGAGCUGCACUGCAAUGCCUCAUGGGAGGUGGUCCAUAGUGAGCAACUGCCAAAUGAGUGCCCUGACAGACAAACCCAGUGCAGCUCGUGGCCCCUGGGGGCACUAAAGACUCUGAGGAGCCCAGUGUUCCUGGUCAUCCUGCUGGCUGUGUUCCUAGCCCUGCUGGUCUGGCCCACAACACUCUUCAUGGACCCAGAGUGCCACCGCUCCAACUCCCUUGCCCGCACCUUCCAACUGGCCCUGAGCUACGUCAACGGGCCCCCGCCAACCUGAGGGACAAAAGUGUCCCAGAAGGUCGUCACAUUAAAUCCGUGGUGAGCCCUGAACACACCUUAUUCAGGGGGGACAGUCCCAGAAAGCCUUUCCAUUUCAAAACCAUGAGUAAGGCAUUAACAAGGAGGCCAUAUGAGAAAAGGGAGAAAUUAAGAACUAUUAGGCCCAAUAAAAAUGUGGCCUUGGUAUUUAUUAUCUGAAUCCCUCCACCAGCCUGCUGGCAGAAGUAGCUCAUGACUUAAUAGGCCUCAUUUUAUAACGCUCUCUAAUGGCAUUCAUAAUGUCUUACUAUGCCAGGCUAGCACUUUUGUUGAUUGGUCUGUCAUGAUGGAUUUGUAACUUAUUUAUGUGGUGAUUAUAAUCUAUAUGGACGACUUAAUGACAGCAAAUACUUUGAGCAAUUCUCUUUUGGGCUUUUGAAAUGAUCUGUAUAUCAAUAUUUAUUAUGUCAAAGCUAGAGAGAGCUUUCGAUUUAUUCUGCACUCUAUAUUGCAAGAGCUUGGGACUAUUGGUUCGAUCUGCAUUUUUGUCCAAAUUGAGUUAUUGAUCAAGCCUUGUUCUGUUCAAUGUUCUCUACCCAUAUAGUACUCAACACCCAAAUCUUGUUAAAUUCAAAAGAAUAUCAGACAAACCUUGCUGACACCUUUCAAACCAUUGAGGGUUUGGAACUUUGAAGCCAAUUAUCUCAGAAUCAUCUUUUUGCAGGUAAUCGUUAGUCCCAAGCUCUCCAUUUCACAUGGGGUUUCCUCAAAUGAAUAAUACUGAAUGCCCGAGUUCGGAUUUACUAGGGCGACUUGCAGAGAACCCAUUUGUAGGUCAAUGGGAUAGGUGACCUGGUUAAUGCACUUAGGAUAAAUUAGCACUCCUUUUGUGCUGCCGCUGUGGGUGAGACCUUGUUUGCAUGUGCGUGGGUCGUUCGUAUAUACUCAAUGAAUUUCUUUUAUAUCUGCUGCGAUGCCAACGGGGUCCAGCUGGAAAACAAUCAGGCAAAAGCCAACUCAUCUGAGGCCAGUGAAGACCGUGUAAGCCUCUAAACAUACUGUAUCUGUUAUGUAAUGGUUUAUGGUCAAUGGCUAUGUUUUUGACAUAGUGGAUGCAAUCCUGGAUCUCAUCCGUAUGUCACAAAUGUAAUGUCAGUCUUAAGAAGUGAAUGGAUCAAAACUCCAUAAUAUUAUGUGAGGUACAUGCAGCUCAUCUGAAAAUGUUAGAAUAUGUCUGCCUUAUACUUGUAGGUGUGUUUGUGGGGGAGUAUUUGCACAGAGUUUUGAUUCUUGUCCAUCCAGUGUGUAUCAGUGUGGAAAUGUAGCGAAGUAUAACUAAUCAGAUUUCUUCAAAUCAGAUUCCUCAGCUUCUUGCAUUUUCAUGGAUGAUUUUUAAACUUCCCCUUUAUACAGUAAAGGAUUCCUGUUUUUGUUUUUUGUUUUUUUUAUAUAUGUGGAGUUCAAGAUCUGUACAUGCGUCAUGAAAUUAAAGAACAGUGUGAACAGAGGAGUAUAGAUCUAUUUUUCUUCUACUAUGGAAUGUGUGUGUGGAAUGGUAUGUCGUGUGAUUCUGAUUUGUGCCAUUGUGCGACGGCCUGCAAGUAUCUGGGCUAGUGGGUGAACUGAAAGGGGGUUUUGUGCUGGUGCAUGCAAAAAAUGCACCCAAGAAUGUUUAUAAAUUCAAUUAGUACGCAAAUGAGAGAAUGUCGGAAGAAUUUGCAGAUGACCUGUCCAUGGCUGGCCAGUGAAAGUGAAUUCUGAUGCAUAGGGUCAGGGAAUCAGGAUUGUGUGGCUAAAGAGGAGACAUAGUCUUGAUUAACAGGGCCACUCAGUUCACCCAUGCUAAUCAGGGAAAUUGUGAUGUUUUCAAUCUAUGCUUUCUGGUUGUUUUGUCCUGUUUUCCCAAUGACUAGUAGAGGGGGAGUUGAUUAUAGAGAGCAAAUUGCUGGUUUGUGUGUUUGGCACAACUGUUACAACAUAAUUUAGGACCUGUGUAAAGAUGGAAGGGCACGGUACGCUAGAUUGGACUCUGGACCGAGAUAUACUGCCGGGGAUCUGGUGCCACCGGCCAUAUGACUGUAAAAACGGAACAAGUAAAUGCUGCUAUUAUCCCUUGAAGGACAAGCAUUGCGGGCCCAGUGGAGAAACGGGUGUCUGCUGAGUAAAUGAGACUUGUCCCCUGAGACAUUCUGAGUAAACAGACCUUUCCAGCUGACUUCUAAGGCACUGACACUGAUGUACCGUUUGCACAGCAAGUGUGCGUACUGUAAAAGCCAGUGUGAAGAAUGUCUGCUUUAUACCCCUGGAUUUGUCCCUGAAUCCUUAUCUAACUGUACAGUACUGGCCAAUGUUUUUAGGCCAAUCUAGUAGAAGCUGAGAUGAAAGGAACUUAUUUUUUUUUCUCUGUGGAUAUGGUUCUCUGCAGCAAAGUGAUUUGUUUUGCUAUAUUCCUGCUAAAGCACCAGCAGUAUAUUUCACAGCCUCAGAGCCUAUAAAAUAAAUAUAUGUGUAUAUAUAUACAGUGCCUUGCGAAAGUAUUCGGCCCCCUUGAACUUUGCGACCUUUGGCCACAUUUCAGGCUUCAAACACAAAGAUAUAAAACUGUAUUUUUUUUAAGAAUCAACAAGUGGGACACAAUCAUGAAGUGGAAUGACAUUUAUUGGAUAUUUCAAACUUUAUUAAAUCAAAAACUGAAAAAUUGGGCGUGCAAAAUUAUUCAGCCCCUUUACUUUCAGUGCAGCAAACUCUCUCCAGAAGUUCAGUGAGGAUCUCUGGAUCAUUCAAUGUUGACCUAAAUGACUAAUGAUGAUAAAUACAAUCCACCUGUGUGUAAUCAAGUCUCCGUAUAAAUGCACCUGCACUGUGAUAGUCUCAGAGGUCCG
ensembl:lncRNA